UUCGCAGUCGUCGGCAAAAUGGCGUAAAAUACAAUUACAGACACGUGAUAUUACCAUUUAUUUGUUUAUGUAUAACAACAGUGGACUAAUUAACAUGUGUGUGAAUUAUGAAAUGCUAUCAAAUUAUUUUAAUUAUAAUAACCCUUUGCAUACCACUGCCUUCAAAUCAACAUUUUAUUUUCCCUGUCAGCAUGUGUCUCCUGGCAGACCUAUGCAACCACACCUGGAUCCCGGAGUGCGGGCUGGAGCCGACUGACGACCACCUGCGCCUCUUCAUCGACGAGUGCGACAUGUUUGAGUUCAACUGCGAUAAGGAGAAAAUGUACGAAAUUCAAAAUUAUUCCGAAUGCUUCAAACCGCAGAUGUGUCCCACUGUCGCACCAUGUCCCUCUCAUCCCACUUGCCCAAACCACCGCUUCCAUAGAAUGGGACAGCGUUUUAUGGUGGUAACUAGAAACGGUAGAAGACAUAUUCCACACACUCAUAGGGCCACAUUAAAGAUGAGUCUACCCUACCGGAUGUUACAUGGAAAGAGGCGAUAUACCCCUAUCCCAAAAAUCCGCAGAGAAAAAAUGAAAAAGGAGGCUAAAAGAAAAAACGCCAAAAAACCUAAGAUAUCAAGUAAAAUUCAAAGCAAAAAAGUCCAAAACAUUUUGCUGGAAACAAUAAUUUUGAGAAAGGAGUCGGUCCUAAUGAAUGGCACGAUGUUCAUGAAGAUCUUCAAGGCGUUUGUUACGAAGACCAUGAGAUCAAAUACAGUGAAACCAAAGACAACAAAGUCUAUGAAAACGGGAUGUUCAAAUUUCAAAACAGGAUGCAAGAAAGAUUCAGAUUUCUUAGAAUAGUAAUUUUUCUAAAGCACAAAUAAAAAGUAAAAGGGAAAACUGCGCUUACAUCGUAUAAAUUGUUUCCCGAGUAUAUAUUAAUGUCGAUUCUAUCACUUGUUUCAGUGUACGAAAUUCAAAAUUAUUCCGAAUGCUUCAACAAACCGCAGAUGUGUCCCACUGCUGCGCCGUGUCCGUCCCAUCCCACUUGCCCCAACCACCGCUUCCAUAGAAUGGGACAACGAUUCAUGAUCGUUACUAGAAACGGUAGAAGACAUAUUCCACAUACUCAUAGGACCACAUUAAAGAUGAGUCUACCCUACCAUAUAUUACAUGGAAAGAGGCGAUAUACCCCUAUCCCAAAAAUCCGCAGGGAAAAAAUGAAAAAGGAGGCUAGAAGAAAAAACGCGCAAAAAUCUAAGAUAACAAGUAAAAUUCAAAGCAAA